rnacentral:rRNA from 1 species
AUUGAACGCUGGCGGCAGGCCUAACACAUGCAAGUCGAGCGGAUGAAGGGAGCUUGCUCCUGGAUUCAGCGGCGGACGGGUGAGUAAUGCCUAGGAAUCUGCCUGGCAGUGGGGGAGAACGUCCGGAAACGGGCGCUAAUACCGCAGACGUCCUGAGGGUGCAAGUGGGGGAUCUUCGGACCUCACGCGCUCAGAUGAGCCUAGGUCGGGUUAGCUAGUUGGUGGGGUAAAGGCCUACCAAGGCGACGAUCCGUAACUGGUCUGAGAGGAUGAUCAGUCACACUGGAACUUGGACGCGGUCCAGACUCCUACGGGAGGCAGCAGUGGGGAAUGUUGGACAAUGGGCGAAAGCCUGGUCCAGCCAUGCCGCGUGUGUGAAGAAGGUCUUCGGAUUGUAAAGCACUUUAAGUGGGGAGGAAGGGCAGUAAGUUAAUACCUUGCUGUUUUGACGUUACCAACAGAAUAAGCACCGGCUAACUUCGUG